AAAAAAAAAAAGUCAGCACGUUUGGAGGAUUGGAUUCGAGAUAUAAUUAAUAUUGGAGCUCAUGGUCAUGAUGAUGAUAUGAGAGGUGAUUUCAAGAGGUUUAAAGAAAAAUAGAAAUGUCAAAUGUUUUAAUUGUGGCAAACAGAUUUGCUUGAAAAGGGGUUGUACAUAGGGCAUUCCUAGAAACAAUGCUCUCUCUAAGAUAAUCCAAAAGGAACGUCCGUCCACUCCAGAUUAUACAGAAGGUGUGGCAAAGGCCGGCACUGGACUAAUAAUGAAUGUAGAUCAAAAAGAGGCAUUCAAGGUAAUACUUUGCCUUUGGGAAAUGCCUUAAGGGGCCUCUGGAACUCCACUCUGCCAAAUCCAGCUCAGUGGUUUCCUGUCAUCAUGGAAACUCCUUCCCAGAGCAAUUAAAGAACCUAAUGCCUGCUGUAAGAAAACGUACUGCUCUGGAUGACCGAAGAGCUUUGGAAGAUAAAACAAAAAUUUCAGGAGAAACCACAAAUCAAAUUGAUAAGGAACCUCCCAAAGUUAGGGUUUUGUUUCUGUCUUUUCAGGAACAUGAAAACAAACAUCUUGAAGAAUUUGAGACCUUUGGACAAAUCAGCAUCCAAAGAAGAAGGGAGAUCUACCCAGAGAAAAUGACCAAGAAAAGGAAGAAUCUGAUGUAAUGAGAUCUCCGAAGUCUCCAAAAAGAAGAUGGAAUCCCAGCCGGGCAUAGGUCAGGGAUGCCUUUAAUCCCAGCACUCGGGAAGCAGAGGCAGGCAGAUCUCAGUGAGUUUAAAGCCAACCUGGUCUACAAAGUGAGUUUCAGGACAGCCAGGACUGCUAACACAGAGAAACUCUGCCUCAAAAUACAAAAUAACAAAACAAACAAAAAGAAGAAGAUGGAACCCCACAGAUGGCAAUUCCACCAGGACUAUGAUAACACCAUUAAGCUGAACAACUCCACCUAAAGAUUGGUUUUCGAUUAUAAACUGCUCAGAACAAUUUCUAGGAAACCAACUGAAAUGAUCCAAUCUCACAGAUAUUGCUCAGAAAAAUUUCCAGAAGGUCAUCUGAGAUGAUCCAGCCUUACAGACACGGCUCAGAAUGAUUUUGAGGAGGCUAAAUGAGAUGAUCCAAACUCAUAGACCACUCUAGCAUGGACUUCAGACAAGCCCUGCACUUUCCCUCUAUGCAGAGACGGGAAAAAAAUGAUACAGCUUGACAGUUAACCCAAAUUUUUCUUUUCAGGAUCCCCUAAAGAUGCCAUCGCCCCAGACAGCAGGAAGCAACUUUAAGAACAUGAUGCCUGCAUUCCCAAGAGGGAACUGGAAUGUGCUAUGUUUAGUGAUCCCUGACUACUGUGCUGACCCCAGUGUCCUUCACACCUCUCCCAUCACACCCUUUCUGUGGUGGCUGGGAAUGCUGGGUUCUGAAGACAUCCUGAAUAUUGAGCCAAGAAGCCUUGCUGUGACUGAAGCUGGAGAGAUGGCUCAGAGGUUAAGAGCACUGACUGCCCUUCCAGAGGUCCUGAGUUCAAUUCCCAGCAACCACAUGGUGGCUCACAACCAUCUGUUAUGAGAUCUGGUGGCCUCUUCUGGUGUGCAGAUAUACAUGGAAGCAGAAUGUUGUAU
ensembl:lncRNA